rnacentral:ncRNA from 1 species
CAGAGUAAAAGCCUGUGCGUCAAGUGCCGGCCCGACGGGGAGUUGCGGGGCGGACGAAGGAAAGGGCCGCCGCCCUUUUCCGCGGUGCAGGCUUUGCAUCCCGCUGC